UGAUGAAGCGUCCGUCGUACAGUGGUUUGGAGGCGGAGCCUGCGAUGAAGUCACCUCCGUGGAUCCACACCAUGACAGGAAGCUGAGCAGCGGUCUUCUCUGAGAGAUCCACACUCACAGGAACAUACACGUUCAGCUGUUGACUGCUGACUCGACUGUAAAGGCUGAGUACGGAGCUCCGAGCCAGAUGUUCUCUCCGACAUGCCGGAACGCCGGGUGGGCCUUGCCCUCCUGCUUCAGCACAGGAUUAUGGGAUGCCCUGCAAUGUCUCGCCCAGGACCGAGCACCUCUCGCCAGUGAAUCAUCCCAGGACUGAACGGAAACACACACACACACAUACACACACAUUGAAAACAUUAUAAUUUUCAUAUCUGGAAGUAGCUGGUGUAAAUGUGCAACCUGUCUUCCAAAAAUAAACACACAUCAGUAAAAGGUUUUAUUUCUGGCUCCACAUCAGAUUAUUUGCUGUUAAAUCUUUUAAAGUGAAUCAUUUUGUAUUUUUGUAGAAUCGAGCGCAACAGCACCACCAACAGGCCGUAAUAAAAACACACAGGAUGGUGUGAAGAAGCCAGAAGCGAGGCUGGGGCUGAUUUCUUUCUCACCCAGACUGUAGAUUCAGCAGCCAAUCAGUGACAGCCGUGUCAGGAAUGAUGGGUGAAGUGUGUGUUUAAUCCUGGCCUGGUGUGUUAAGGGAAACUCCAUGUCUCAGUGCAGGAAACCUCUCCCUCACACACACAUAGGUCACUGAAGUUAUUUACGGCGUGAAUCACGCUGGCGGCGUCCCCGAGGCCGUGUCUGUGCGUCGCACCGUCUGAAAAGUAGGCCGAGCUUCAGUGCUGAAUGUGACACAUCAGAGGUGUGGAAGCAGUUUAACACAUUUAACAUCUCUUAACGAUUUAUAAACUGUAAUCCUACGAUAACGAUCUAUAAACUGUAAUA